rnacentral:rRNA from 1 species
UAAACAUUGAUACAUUACUACAUUUUCAAUCCGCCCGGGUACUACAAGCACUAGCUUAAAACCCAAAGGACUUGGCGGUGCUUAAGAUCCCCCUAGAGGAGCCUGUUCUAGAACCGAUAAUCCACGUUUAACCUCACCCUCCCUUGUUUUUCCCGCCUAUAUACCGCCGUCGUCAGCUUACCCUGUGAAGGUCUAACAGUGAGCAAAAAUGGCACAGCCCAAAACGUCAGGUCGAGGUGUAGCGCAUGAGAGGGGAAGAAAUGGGCUACAUUCUCUAAAAAAUAGGAGCACACGGAUAAUAUAUUGAAACAUAUAUUUUAAGGAGGAUUUAGCAGUAAGUAGAAAUUAGAAUAUUCCACUGAAUCCGGCCCUAAAGCGCGC